rnacentral:lncRNA from 10 species
AGAAAAUGCAAGGGAGUCUGGGUCAAUUAAUUGCCUACCAGAGCACUGCCCUAUGUAUUUCAAGCAGGGAAAACGGAAGAGGGCUGACUGGUUUACUCUGGAGAUUUUCCUUAGUCUGGACCAAACCUUCCCAUUAUUGGACACAGAUGGUCAGCUAGUAAUCAAUCAUCUAUAAUUAUGCUUUGGAAAAACCUCAUGAGCAAAGACCCUCGACUUGUAGUCAAAGCUACAAUUUAUGUCAAGCAGCUCCAUUAGAUGUCUCAUUUCCCAGCCAUCAGGAGGAGGAAAGAGGGAAUGAAGAACAAGCUUCUUCCUGUGGGUGUGACCCAGAGGUUGUUCGUGUCACUUCUAUUCACAUUUGCUUGUGUAGAACUUACACAAUCAUACUUAACUUCAAGAAAGAUUGGGCAACAUAGUUUAUAGCGGGGAGGAUUUAUGCCCUGAAAUUGAUGGUGUCAUCUUUUCAUCUUCCCUCUCUCACCAUUAGCAUGUAAUCUGUAACUGAAUUUGAACAAUCCAACUUCCAAAUGAUUUCCAUUUUUCUCCAUAUUCCUAACAACACUUUAGUCUAAAGCGUCCUCAUCCUUGCCUAGUUUACUACAAUAACCUAAUUGGUCAGCGUGCUUCCAUUCUUGCCCCACCAAGUCAUUUCUGACACCGUGGCCGCUAAUUCUUAAGAAUAGAAACCAAAUCAUCACUCUUCUUUAAGGCCUUUAGUGUCUAUUUCCAUAGAAUAAAAUCCAUACCCUGCACCAUGAGCCGUAAGACCUGGCAAUGACCUGGCUCUAGUGUACCCAGUGCUAUCCUUGCACCAUGCUUUCCACCAGUCACUAUGUUCUGGCUUCUCUGGCCUCCACCUUUUUCUAGAACACAUUGAUCCUUUCCCCACCUCAGGCCCUUAUCCCUGCUAUUCUUCAUCCUGUAAAACUUUUGCUGGGAUCUCCGCGUGGCUGGCUCGCCCUCAUCUCUUGGCACUCAGCACAAAUGUCAUCUAUUUUGAGAAUCUUUCCUGACUGCCCUUUGUAAAGCAGCAUGUCUUGUUCCCAGUGACUCUUUAUUGCAUUACUUUAUUUAUUUUCUUCAUAGCAUUUAUUAAAUUAUAUAAUAAUCCUGUUUAUUUGAUUAUUUAAUUUUCUCCUUUCAUUAGAAAAUAAUCCUUAGGAGGGCAGUUUCUUUGGCUUAUCCUGAUUCUCAGACUCUGGCACAUAAAAGGAACUCAACAGAUUGCUAUUGAAUGAGUGAUUAAAUGAGUUAGGUACACUUUAUAUAUUUCUUACAAUAAGAAUCUGGUGCCCACUGUGGGAAAACCAGGUAAAAGGAACCUUACACAGAUUUGCCUCCACUAGCUUUACUU